CAACAACUGAGAACAAGGACCAGCCAAAGUCAUCAGAAGGGUAGCACAGUUGCUGCUAGCAGCUGCUGUGCCCUGAGGGGUGAGGGAAAUGUGGUCGCCUAAAACACCAUCAAAGGUUGCUGCUUAAACACUUCCCUCAGCCAUAUAUGAAGGCUAAAUCAGAUAAAGAUCCCAGGAAGUGUGCAACAGGCACAAGAUUCAAAGGAAGCAGGCUGCUUUCUUGCAGCAAGACAAGGCAAGUUGGAAGAGAGGAUUAUUUUUCUUCUUCAAAGCUCUCACCCUCAGGAGGAUUCCUAUCAACUACUUUGGGAAAGAGUGAGUACAAAAAGACAGGGGACAUACCAGAUGACCUCUCUGGGACCUUUAAGCCUGAAGAUUUCAUUACACAUUCU
rnacentral:lncRNA from 10 species